rnacentral:lncRNA from 1 species
AGGUUCUCCUUUCUGCGGCUGGAGAGCUCUGGAAUACUUGGUGCCUGGAGAGAUCAGAAGAGGGUAUCAUAUCUACUGAGACUGGAAUCAGGGAAGAUUGUGAGCCACCAUGUGGGUGCUACGACUCAAACCUGACUCCUCUGCAAGAGCCACGAGUGCUCUAAACCAUGGAGCCCUCUUCAUCCCCAACUUAGAGGAACAUCUUUUUGUAAGAUUUGGAAUAGCUACUUCUGAUAGAUUCAGCGGAAGCAGGAUAGCAUUUGAAGACCCAGAGAACACAAUCCUAAUCAUGGGUGCUCAGUCCCGGUGGACACAUCUCCAACAUAGCUACAGCCCAGUGAACAUUGCAGAAGAUGAGGAUUACAUGAGUCUGGAGAUCAGGGAAUCUGUUAUCGGUUUGUGACUCCUGGAAAUGACAGGAAAGCUACGUCUGUGAUACCUCAAUAGGAUGGCUGCCUAAAUAAGACCUGAGCAAUGACAGUACCAAUAAACACGCU